AACGAACGCUGGCGGCAGGCCUAACACAUGCAAGUCGAGCGCUGCAGCAAUGCAGAGUGGCAGACGGGUGAGUAACGCGUGGGAACCUUCCCAGUGGUACGGAAUAGCCCAGGGAAACUUGGGGUAAUACCGUAUAAGCCCCUAGGGGGAAAGAUUUCUCGCCAUUGGAUGGGCCCGCGUCGGAUUAGCUAGUUGGUGAGGUAAUGGCUCACCAAGGCGACGAUCCGUAGCUGGUCUGAGAGGAUGAUCAGCCACACUGGGACUGAGACACGGCCCAGACUCCUACGGGAGGCAGCAGUGGGGAAUAUUGGACAAUGGGCGCAAGCCUGAUCCAGCCAUGCCGCGUGAGUGACGAAGGCCUUAGGGUUGUAAAGCUCUUUUGGCGGGGACGAUAAUGACGGUACCCGCAGAAUAAGCUCCGGCUAACUUCGUGCCAGCCGCCGCAGUAA
rnacentral:rRNA from 1 species